rnacentral:rRNA from 1 species
UACGAAGGGGGCUAGCGUUACUCGGAUUGACUGGGCGUAAAGGGCGCGUAGGCGGCUUGUACAGUCAGACGUGAAAUUCCUGGGCUCAACCUGGGGGCUGCGUUUGAUACGUGCGGGCUUGAGUUCGGAAGAGGGUCGUGGAAUUCCCAGUGUAGAGGUGAAAUUCGUAGAUAUUGGGAAGAACACCGGUGGCGAAGGCGGCGACCUGGUCCGAUACUGACGCUGAGGCGCGAAAGUGUGGGGAGCAAACAGG